UACAGAGGGGGCAAGCGUUAUUCGGAAUUAUUGGGCGUAAAGGGCGCGUAGGCGGCCUUGCAAGUGGCGGGUGAAAUCCCUCGGCUUAACCGAGGAACUGCCUGCCAGACUGCAAGGCUCGAGACCGGGAGAGGUGAGUGGAAUUCCCAGUGUAGCGGUGAAAUGCGUAGAUAUCUGGAGGAACACCGGUGGCGAAGGCGGCAUCCUGGACCGACACUGACACUGAGGAGCGAAAGCCAGGGGAGCAAACGGG
rnacentral:rRNA from 1 species